rnacentral:rRNA from 1 species
GUCUAUGGCCAUGUCACCCUGAACAAGCCCGAUGCCGUCUGAUCUCGGAAGCUAAGCAGGGCUGGGCCUGGUUAGUACUUGGAUGGGAGACCGCCGAGGAAGACCAGGGUGCUGCAGUUG